GGAAUACAAGCUGACAGGUGAGACCAGGUGAGGGGGAAGGUGGGUGGUUGGGGGAUGGAUAGGGGAGAUUACAAGCUGACAGGUGAGACCAGGUGAGGGGGAAGGUGGGUGGAUGGGGGAUGGAUAGGGGAGAUUACAAGCUGACAGGUGAGACCAGGUGAGGGGGAAGGUGGGUGGUUGGGGGAUGGAUAGGGGAGAUUACAAGCUGACAGGUGAGACCAGGUGAGGGGGAAGGUGGGUGGUUGGGGGAUGGAUAGGGGAGAUUACAAGCUGACAGGUGAGACCAGGUGAGGGGGAAGGUGGGUGGUUGGGGGAUGGAUAGGGGAGAUUACAAGCUGACAGGUGAGACCAGGUGAGGGGGAAGGUGGGUGGUUGGGGGAUGGAUAGGGGAGAUUACAAGCUGACAGGUGAGACCAGGUGAGGGGGAAGGUGGGUGGUUGGGGGAUGGAUAGGGGAGAUUACAAGCUGACAGGUGAGACCAGGUGAGGGGGAAGGUGGGUGGUUGGGGGAUGGAUAGGGGAGAUUACAAGCUGACAGGUGAGACCAGGUGAGGGGGAAGGUGGG